AAAAGGUUUGAAUUCAAAUGUUUUAAUAAAAAGAAAAAAAAGAAAAACCCCUUCCCUCUCUCCUGGGUCUCUCCCUCUCUCCCUGGCCCAAGUCCCUCUCUCCUUUCUUCCUUACCCGGUGGCCCAUCUCUCUUCUUUCUCUGGCCCAAGCCAUCUCCCUCUUGGCCCGUACCCCUUCGAGGAGAAAAGAUCUUCUCCCUUUCCUGUCGUCUUCUCCACCUCGUCACGCAUGAGGCGUGCCUCCUUUUUCCCUCAUGGCUGUGGUCCUCCCUCUCAACCACUGCCCCCUUUUCCCCCUCUUAAAUCUCCAACUCGAGCCCCAGCAAACCCUAGCCCUCCUCCCUCUGGCCGUCGCCACUAUCUCCUCUUCUCCCCACCUUUCUCCUUUUUCUCUCCGUGAACAAAACGAAGAAACACUGCCACCACCAUCCUCACCAUGGCUCCGCCUCCACAGACCACCCCCCGCCGUUCUGAGGGCACCGACAGAUGCGCCUCGAUGUCCUUGUUCUCCACACCGGAGGAAUCGAGCUCAUACGCUCCCAGUCGCCGCCAAUCCCGCCGUUUCUUCUUCGUCUCUGGCAGCAAAACUUGACGAUUCCGGCCGGCCUAGUCCUUCCCCGGCGACCUCAACCUCACCAACAUGUUCUGGGUGCUCACCGUCGGCGUCCCUCCGGCGACCCCCUGGACUCCACACCACCGCCAUCAGCCUCCUUGUGUUCUGGCGCAUCCCCGACGCCAAGUUUCCCGUCCCGAUUCGCCUUGAAUCGCCGGAUUGAUUGGCUACUGGAUCUCCCCGCCAUUGCUGUAAUGUUCAAGCUCGUCCCUGGCACCGGUUGGUUCUAGUUGUCACGGGCCAGCACGUUAACAAGAUCUGGAUCAGUAGCCCAGUGGUAACACCCUUGAUCCGGUUACCGUGUGGCCUGAGUUCAAAUCCCCAUCUGGGUGAUUAAGCAACACCUUUUUGAUGUUUUUCUCCCCAGAUCCGUGGAUGGGCCUUGGCCCAGGUUCUUCUCCCGGCGCUGGCCUACAUCCGCCGCCGCCGCAGGCUUAGUUCCGGCCCAGAACCGAGCAGGUUCGGCCCAGUUUUCCCUCGCCUUUCCUCUCUUCUUUAAUUUUGCAAAAAAAUGUUUAAAUCUUGCGAAAUUCAUAUCUUUCAAACCGCUCAUCGAAAUGCAAAGUGUUUUAUAUGAAAAUUGAUCAGAAAAAUAUGAGGAACAUGAAUAUGCCAUCCAUUCAUCUGUUUGCAUCCCGCAUCAUGUCGUGCGUUGAUAGUUGUGCAUAUCCACCUCACAUAUAUGCGGAGUAUUUUGGAUUUCCAACUAUGGUUUUCCCCGCUCCGUUUAAUAUUGAAGUAGCGCACCCCUGACAUGAUAUGCCAUGCUAAUCAACACUUAACUUUGACGCUAGAAAAUGCAACUCCAACCUAAUUUGCUUGUCCGGGGUUCCGACUCCGAUUAAAUUGGAUAAGUGCAUCGCAUCCUGUUUGCCAUGUCAUGCAUAUCAUAUCAUGAUCAUGCUGGAUCUUCUUUAUCCGUAGUAGUAAGACUUGCAUGCGUUGUGUGUUCUAGCAUUUGCUUCUUCACGGAUAGGAUCACGAAGUGGUGUUGAGAGAUACGACAAGUUCUUCUGCAGCUUUUCACAGGCGAGCCCACCCCUUCACCUAUUUUACUUUUACAUGCUCCUUUGAUCUAUUGCUAUCCUUAUGUUGUGAUUCUGUUGUGUCACGUGUCCUAUCCACCUGUUACCUAUAUGUCCAAGAUACACCUCCUCGCCCUACCUAUUGUUUGUUGUUUGCCAGCUUUGCGAGUCGUAGGCGAGUUUAGGGUUUUGUUGAUAUCUCGAAAUGUUCGGGAUAUCUUGUUGGGAGGUUAUCACAUGAUAUAUCAGCUGUUGGAGAUACACAUGCUUUACUUAAUUGUUAACAACUAAAAUUGUAAGCAGAGGCAUCUGUGAGCCCCUUUGCGAAAGCAUUGGAACUUUGACUCGCUAAUGUCCCCUAGGACCCGAGUUCUUGUUAUCUGUUCCGAGAUUGAGCGCUCUACCCAUGCGUGGGGAUUCACUGGGAGCCCCCUCACCCUUUACCUUUUCUCAAGUUAGUUGAAAAGGGGGCCACAACCUUGGUUUUAUUUGGCGCAUGCAUGUUUAUUACUGCUGCCUUCGGGUGUUUACUUCCUGUUGCCUUCGGGUGGUUUAUUUCUGUACUGCACUGCAUAAUUGCUAGACGACUUAUCUAGUGCUUGGCCGUUAGUGCCCGCCUAGACGCCUACGCAACCUCCGGGUCCGUCUCGAGUACGGCCGGACUUCAUCACGGGUAGCUUAGUUGGGUGGCCCCCCAGACUUUCUUGUUGAACUGGGAACGGUCUUGUUGUGAGACAUCCACCUGUCGUAAGUGGGUCGAGCAUGCGUAUGGUUACAUUUGGGCAACCCCUGCAGGGUGUACAUCUUAUCGAUAAGCCGUGUCCGUGGUUAUGGACGACUUGGAAUUGUAUAGCUUGAUCAUAGAACAACUUACACCUUAUUUCCUGUUGUUAAUAAUUUGCUAAUAAAACUCUUUCAAAAGUGUGUGUGCCUUUGCAAUACCUCUUGGCGAGGGGGGAUCGCAUCGGCUGUGUUAUGUUUGCAGAGUAUAGAACAGUUACCUUGUGCGCUCUCUUAUCUUCUCUGAGUAGACGGAUGUUGUAGAGUGUCUCUAUUGGAUAGUAGCUUUGCUGCCGCUAAACUCCACAUAUAGCCGGGUGAAGUUUAUACCGCCCACCAGCGAGCAUAGCUGGUCUUGUCUCGCAAGUACGUGCCAAUGGUACUUACCCUCGCCUUCCUUUCUUUUUGUCUCCUCCCCCUUUUGUCGGCAACCGAAGGCCCAACUUUGACAGGUACGAGACGACGACGUUAGCAAGGUUACCCUUCCAGCUUGGCCUGGGCAGGGUUAUGGACGCCACUGAUUAUCUUCAGGACUCUUAGUCCAAUUUGUAUCUUGUCCAUACUCGGACGUAUUCGAUCUUCUGUAUGAUUUGGAUCUUUGUAUUGUAUAUUUGUAUCUUGACUCGUUGGAGUCGUUGUUGUAAUAUAUGUAUCUUGUGGGCUC